rnacentral:rRNA from 1 species
AUUGAACGCUGGCGGCAUGCUUUACACAUGCAAGUCGAACGGUAACAGGGAGCUUGCUCCGCUGACGAGUGGCGAACGGGUGAGUAAUGCGUCGGAACGUGCCGAGUAGUGGGGGAUAACGCAUCGAAAGGUGUGCUAAUACCGCAUACGUACUGAGGUAGAAAGUGGGGGACCUUCGGGCCUCACGCUAUUCGAGCGGCCGACGUCUGAUUAGCUAGUUGGUGAGGUAAAGGCUCACCAAGGCGACGAUCAGUAGCGGGUCUGAGAGGGUGAGCGGCCACAAUGGGACUGAGACACGGCCCAGACGCCUACGGGAGGCAGCAGUGGGGAAUUUUGGACAAUGGGGGCAAGCCUGAUUCAGCCAUGCCGCGUGUCUGAAGAAGGCCUUCGGGUUGUAAAGGACUUUUGUCCGGGAGCAAAUGCCUGGUGUUAAUAGCACUGGGAGCUGAGAGUACCGGAAGAAUAAGCACCGGCUAACUACGUGCCAGCAGCCGCAGUAAUAC